AUUGAACGCUGGCGGCAGGCUUAACACAUGCAAGUCGAGCGGAGCGGCGGACGGGUGAGUAAUGCUUAGGAAUCUGCCUAUUAGUGGGGGACAACAUCUCGAAAGGGAUGCUAAUACCGCAUAAUAAUAGAAGAGCAUAAGUCGGAUUAGCUGGUGGGUGGGGUAAAGGCCGACCAAGGCGGCGAUCUGUAGCGUGUCUGAGAGGAUGAUCCGCGACACUGGGACUGGGAGUCGUCCCAGACUCCUACGGGAGGCAGCAGUGGGGAAUAUUGGACAAUUGGGGUAACCCUGAUCCAGCCAGGCCGCGUGUGUGAAGAAGGCCUUAUGGUUGUAAAGCACUUUAAGCGAGGAGGCGUUACUCGCAGAAUAAGCACCGGCUAACUCUGUGCCAGCAGCCGCGGUAAUAC
rnacentral:rRNA from 1 species